ACGGGUGAGUAACACGUGGGUGAUCUGCCCUGCACUUUGGGAUAAGCCUGGGAAACUGGGUCUAAUACCGAAUAUACCCUGCUGGUCGCAUGGCCUGGUGGGGGAAAGCUUUUGCGGUGUGGGAUGGGCCCGCGGCCUAUCAGCUUGUUGGUGGGGUGAUGGCCUACCAAGGCGACGACGGGUAGCCGGCCUGAGAGGGUGACCGGCCACACUGGGACUGAGAUACGGCCCAGACUCCUACGGGAGGCAGCAGUGGGGAAUAUUGCACAAUGGGCGCAAGCCUGAUGCAGCGACGCCGCGUGAGGGAUGACGGCCUUCGGGUUGUAAACCUCUUUCAGCAGGGACGAAGCGCAAGUGACGGUACCUGUAGAAGAAGGACCGGCCAACUACGUGCCAGCAGCCGCGGUAAUACGUAGGGUCCGAGCGUUGUCCGGAAUUACUGGGCGUAAAGAGCUCGUAGGUGGUUUGUCGCGUUGUUCGUGAAAACUCACAGCUUAACUGUGGGCGUGCGGGCGAUACGGGCAGACUGGAGUACUGCAGGGGAGACUGGAAUUCCUGGU
rnacentral:rRNA from 1 species